UCAUCCUGCAGAUUGAACCUCUCCAAGAAAAGCUCCAGCUUUACAAAAUGGAGGUUGCAAAGGAUUCUGGCCGAGCAGCAGCGCUGCUGUCUGAGUUUGAAGAAUCGUACUACGCUCCUGCUGAGGCUCUGGUCGGCUGUGCCGAGGAUCUGAUCCACAGGUUGGAGGAGAUUCUACCCGUAAAGUUCCAGAGCAGGGAGAGCUGGGCUCCGGAUCUGGAGAGGCUGAAGGAGAACCUUCAUUCGGACGUGAACUUCAUUCUUCAAACCCUCAGGGCGGUUUCUGAAUACCACCACUAUCACAACAAGACCAACAGGUGGUACAGUCUGGUCCUCAGGGACAGCUUCCUGCCAGAGCUCCUUUCAGGCCUUCAAGGAGAGCCUCUUUCCACUCGGCAACAGAACGACCAAAUGAAGACAAUCCCUGCAUGGAGACGGAGACUUUCUGCGUUCCUAAAGAAGAAUCCUCCUCCAGACCUGGAGGAGCUGCUCCAUCUGUCCCGUCUGUCCGCUUCCAUCCCAGAUGGUGACGUACAGCAGGCGGGCAGACGCCUGUCUCAGAGGUGCAUGAUCCUGAGGAAGCUGCUGAUUUCCUCUGGGCCAGUGUCUGUGGAGCAGCUCCAGCUCGCCCUCCAGUGGCAGUACGAGGCGUUGCGUUGUAGCCAUGGGAAUCAGAGCCCUGAAAGCAGCAGUGACUCAGUGUCUGAUGGUAACCUGAGCUUUACCAAGCAGAACCAAACGAUACCUGAGAACUGGAAUCCUCCCACCAUGGUGGUCCCGCCUGCAGCUGCUGACUGGAAACAGUCUGCCAGCUCUUUGUUCUCUGGGCCUCAUGGUUUGGGGGGGACCCAACUGCAGGCUCCAGGAGGAAAGGAUGAGGUGGAGAAAUCCCUAAACCCUGCUGAAAUGAGAACUUCCCCAGAGCAACCCAGCUCUCUGAAGGGGAGCGUCUCCGUUAUUUCAGAUGAGAAGCAUCACAGCAGGGAGUUUGCUUUGAGGCCUGCAGCAAACCUCUCCAGCAUCCAGAUCAUCCCUAAAGUAGAAGCAGAAUCCCUGAAUCUGGAGAUCAAGGUGAAGCGCUCGGCUUCACCUCCCACCAAUCCCUGGCUCAGCCUGCCGGUGGACGAGUUGGAAAACUCCUACACAGUCACCAUCACCCCAAAGCCCACGCCUCAGAAGCAGAGCUCUAAGAUGACUGCUGCUGAGCAGAAACCGCCCCCCAAGAAUGAGACGCUAAGCUGCACAGAGCCCAGAGAUCCACCGAGCAUAGACUGGGUGCUACAUGCUGACAGUGGAUGGACUGAUCCUGAACUGAGCCCCAUCCACAACAUUCUGUCCAGCACAAUCACUGAUGGCAGAGAGACGUCCACCUGCGCCACAGACGGCGUUCCUACUCUGCUCUGGGAUUCCUACGACCUCCAUGAGGAGAAGCCAGAAGCAGACAGUGUGACUGAUAUGUCCUCGAUGGACUGGGAGCUGAAGGAGCAGGAAAACCUCCGAGAGGUGGAGAGAAUAUUAACCAAGGCUGAUGGGAUCCUGGAGGAGGAGGAGAACGUUUUGGCUCAAGAAGCUGUGCUGGAUGCUCUGCUCAGAGCAGGAGAUGAAAAAGAUCUCUGGCAUCUUUGGCACAGUGAGAAGCAGCUGGAGGAGCCCUCCUUUGAUGCUGGUAGCUCUGGGGACGGCCCCAUGCUGGGAGGAUCCGACCCGCUCAGCGAGGGUGUAUCCGCAGAGUCUACGAGAUACGAGGAAGAGGAUUUCAGCACUGAAGCAGAAACCACUGAAGACGGGCUGGAGCUGCAGGAAGAGCCGAGGAACGUUCCCCUCCUGGGUCCGCCGAGCAGAAAGGAGAACCUGAACCUCCAGGAUCUGAGGCGGUUCACUUCACAGCAGCCAUCAGCCCCAAACCCAGAGAGGGAAGCUUUCCGCUUGGAGCUGGAGAGGGAAAAAAGAGAAGUGGAGAAGCUUGAGAAGAGUUUGAAGGAAAGUUCUGAGUGGAGGAAUGAGACCGGAGCGUCUGGGAGGUUCUCUGAGACGGAGAGCGGAGACGAUGGAGAACCCACUGAGCUGUCAGAGACUAGGAGCAAUGAGUCACUGGGUCCUGUGGUGGAGGAUGAUGAUGAUGAUGAAGAGGAGUCAUUGCAGUGUCAUGGUUUUUAUGUUGGUGGCUCUGGUAGGAAUCUGCUCUUAUGUGACACUAAAGCUUCUAGUAGUGAAUCUCCAGUGGUUCCUCCAGUGGUCGGCUCAGAAAGCCUGUUAACCUCUGAACUGAUGCUGCAGGAGGGGGGGUUUGAUCCAGGAGGGAGACCCGCUGGGCCAGAACCAGCCUCCCUUCCUGUAGACGGACCUCCUCCAACCCCUGAGGAGGAAGCGGAGCCUGCGGCUCUUGGCGUUUUAGUGGAGGGGGUGACUUUGGAUGACAGGAAGAACGUUUUCAACCCAAAUAUAACGGAACACAUUAAUAAUAACAAUAAUAACCUGUCAGUCUGCGGGAACCUUUCUGGAAGGGCUGACGGUGAGGAGGACUCCUCCACUGGGCCCCUCCUCACAGAUGUGCAGCAAACGAAGCCAGACCUCCAACCAGAGCUCCAAACGGGUCCCAGCCAGCGCCUGGAGUUCGACCCUGGAGGACCAGAAGAAUUGGUUUUUGAGGGGGUUCGGAUCUCGGACCGUGGGGAGCAGAGGACCCAGCUAUGGGCGGAGAGCUUUACAGAGAUCGCUGAUUUCAAGAUCCCCGUCAUCCUGGAUGUAGGAUCUGGUUUGAUGAAGGCAGGAUUUUCAGAUCAAGACCAGCCAAACAUCAAGUUCCCAACAAUAACUGGAGUGCCAAAAUAUGAGGAAAUAAUGAAUGGGACCCUGGAGAGGGAGACCUACAUCGGCCAUGAUGCUCAACACAUGCGGGGGGUUCUGACUCUGAGGCAUCCCAUUCGCAAUGGGAUCAUUUGCAACUGGGAUGAUAUGGAAAAGAUCUGGCACUACACCUUCCAGCAGCUGUGUGUGGAUCCUGAAGACCACCCUGUUCUGCUGACGGAGGCAGCCAUGAACCCGCUGGACAACCGGCAGCGCAUGGUGGAGAUCAUGUUUGAGCGCUUUGGUGUUCCGUUUGCCUACGUAGCCAUGCAGGCUGUGCUGGCCCUGUACGCAGCAGGGAGAACCACUGGUGUGGUGUUUGACUCUGGAGAAGGAGUGAGUCACAGCGUGCCUGUCUUUGAGGGCUACGGUCUUCCUCACGCUAUCCAGCGCUUCCCUUUGGCUGGCUGCGAUGUUACAGCACAGCUGAAAAAGCUCCUGCAGGAACAGGGCGUCUCCAUGCGAACGACUGCAGAGGAGGAGAUUGUAAGGGAGAUGAAGGAGAGAUGCUGCUGUGUUGCAUUAGACUAUGAAGCCGACAUGAACCCAGAGAGGUCAUCCUGCAGAGAAAUGCUUUACACCUUACCAGAUGGCCAGAUCAUCACCCUCGGCACAGAAAGGUUCAGGGCUCCUGAGAUCCUGUUUAAACCGGAGGUGAUUGGACGGGAUCAUUAUGGAAUGCAUGAGAGCGUCUUUAAGUCCGUCCUCAGGUCAGACAUCGACCUGCGCCGCUCCUUCCUGUCAAACAUCGUUCUUUCAGGUGGGAACACUCUGCUGCCAGGCCUGCCUGAGCGGCUCCAGGCCGAGGUGAAGAACCUGCUGCCACAGGACAUGAGGGCGGCCGUUCGCGUCACCAGCCCCAAAGACAGAGACUUCCUGGUGUGGAGCGGCGGGGCGGUUCUGGCCAAUCUGUCCACUUUCAGCUCUGCUUGGAUCAGCCAGGCCGAGUACGACGAGCACGGACCGCAGAUCGUCUUCAGGAAGUGUUUCUGAGUAGCCCUUCCUGAAUACGUUUUAGUGCUGAUGGAAAAUGAUGAACUGCUCUGAGCCUCAAAGCGUUUCUGUGCCCGUUGGCCUCGGGCCAUCAGGGGGAGUUGAAUGGUCUUUGAAUGUUGUCUGUCUUAAAUGUUCAGAAUAUGAGUUAAAUGGGUGAUGAAGAGUAACUGAAGCUGGUCUUUUGUCUGUCUGGUAACUGGGAGGCAGUCCCAGCACAGUUUGUAUAUUAAAACUAUCUUUUAAGCUGAAUGAAUUAUUUUGUGUGUAAGACGGGGUGAAAAUGGCCGACUUUGGUGGGGGAGCUGUACCUCUGGGCGUUUUACAGCUUCCCUGUAAAAUGUGUUGAAAUGUGUGACGGUUUCUGGCAGCUUUCCUGAUGCUCAUCAUGAAGAUGGUAGAUCCUACUGGGAGGCCAGUUGUUAACUGGAGAAACGGACGGUUACUGCUGGUUUGUACUGGUUCAGAUGUCUGAGUGCAGUCGUUUUAUCGUCCGAAGCCAAAGAGUGUGUCUUUUGAGUUUGUUAAAUUAUUUUGAUGCUAAAGUAUUUCUUUGUAAGGGACGGUUGCAUUUCUUUAUACGUCCAUAAAUGUUUGUCUUUUAUUUUGUUGCAUGAGUUGCUGCAUGUUUAAGUGCUUGCCGUUUUGUGAAUUGUCUCCAGUUUGGCUUUUGUCUCCAUAGUCCCUUCCUGCAGGGGGGGGGGGUUGAGCUGUUUUAGAGGAAAGUGGGAAACUUGUUGACUGUUUCAUGGCUGCACAUACCAUCUCAGAAGUCCUGCAUCAACCUGAACCAAGCUGAGCUUUUAUCACCCCUGUCAUGUCUGUCUUUUUUUUUUAAAUAAA